rnacentral:rRNA from 1 species
UACGGGGGGGGCAAGCGUUGUUCGGAAUUACUGGGCGUAAAGGGCUCGUAGGUGGCCAACUAAGUCAGACGUGAAAUCCCUCGGCUUAACCGGGGAACUGCGUCUGAUACUGGAUGGCUUGAGUUCGGGAGAGGGAUGCGGAAUUCCAGGUGUAGCGGUGAAAUGCGUAGAUAUCAAGUGGAACACCAGUGGCGAAGGCGAGUCCCUGGACAACUCCUGACACUGAGGCACGAAAGCUAGGGGAGCAAACAGG